rnacentral:miRNA from 1 species
GAGCGCGUGUGUGCGUGCGUGUGUGUGUGUGUGUGUGUGUGUGUGUGUGCGCGGGCGCGACGCACCAGAGGCUCCUCGGAGCUCAGACUC